CCCGGGGCGGGAGGAGGUGGGGCGGCAGGAGCUGCGUCGGGCCCGUGGGCUUCCACGCCCCUCGGGAGCUGAGCUGCGUGCGGGCGGUAAAGGAGGCUGAGGAGAACAUGAUGAUGACAUCUGCAAAACGAUGCUUAGUUCCUGUUACAAGACUGAUACGUUCCUUCAGGAUGAACUGAAUCAACGAAAUUCAGCAUUCAUGAGGAUAUCUUGGCUUGUUUUCACAUCCCUUCCUGAAGAGGAGGCAGCUGUAUUUACACUGCUGUAAUGUCCAUCACCCCUAGCCAAGGAGCUGAACGAUCUAAACCCAGCGAGAAACAAAUGCACAGUGCUGUUCUCCGAGCUUCUUUGCUGACUGAGACUGCUGUGGGAGAUGGGGACUGAAGAUGCUUUGUGCUGGGAGACUGAAGCAUGGGAAUGGAAGAAUAAGUGAAGUCUCUUACAGCAAGGCACUCUUACAUCUGUCCAGCUGCUCUCCUGCCCAGGGAUGAAACAUAUAGUGUGAAAGCAUGUGAAGUUGAACCCUCUUUGCAAAGGGCAACGUGUCAGGUCUCCUUGUUCUAACUAAGAUUACUACAACAGCAAGAGGAAUGUAGCACCGUGUGGUGAAAGAUGAGUUUCAAUAAUAAAAGGUACUAAUAACUUAACAUGCAAAUGGCUGUAAUCCAUCUCUACCAAAGUGCACACUACGUGCGAGGCAUUGGCCUUUUCAGACAUUAAAAGAACGAUGUACUCUUUUUUCCAGUACACAAUGCCAUAUAGAGGAAACAGAAUGAUUAAAAACAAAAAAAAGCCCAUAAAGACACCCUCGUGCCUGUAGUCUAACACAAACAUGCCCUGUCUUACCCAGGGUCUUAUGAUCCUCAAUCACAUUAUAUGCCUGUUAAGCUGUUAAAUUUCUUUUAUCCCAUUGUAAAUAUAAUGCCACAAAGUGUUAUGCAAGGGAGCUUUGUGAAGACGUUAAUAGCACUUGUUCAUUCAUGUGUGAGAGAAAAGUAGAAGGAAACCAGGCAAGCCUUUCUACUCUUUGCCUAGCUUUUAUUAAAUUGUAUGUACAAACUUCUUUUGUGCUUCCAAUAGAGAACAUAUUUCCUUAUUUGUCUCAAAAAAAAAAAAA